GUCGUGUUCUGUGGUUUGGUCGGUGUUGUCAAUUUGUGUGAGGAUAAAGCAGUUGUUAGAGUUCCAACAAACAAAGCGUUGGACGUGUUAAAAUGAAUGAACAGCGUGGUUCCGGUGGACGAGAAGUGCGUCUCCUGCAAGACAUAUGCCUGGAUGCCAUUACUGACUUCACAGAUGUGAAAUGGUUCCGGGAUUUCGUGCUGCCACGUUGCCUCGCCGAUCACUACUACACACGACUGCAAAGACGACGGUCUUUUAAGGAUCAUCUCGUACCUGUGGUGCUACACGCCAAGUCCAUCGAAGCAGAUUUGGCCGAGAGUCCUGUCACGGCAGCCGCCCUUGUUCACGUCAGGAAAUGCACGCAGCUGGAGAAGCUCACCUUUUCCUCGGUGCCUUGGAAUGACUUGCUCUGCGAAACUACUCUCCUGGAAACAGUCACGUGCUUCCACAACCUGAGGUGGCUCGAGCUGAUUGGUGUCAGCGCAGUCACUGACGCAGUGGUUGCAGCCAUUGCUGGACAGAACAAGCUCCUCACGACCCUCAGUCUGAGUGGUUGUGUGAACGUUAGUGACGAUGCCCUUAAAGUGUUGGGACAGAACUGCCACUUCUUGAAAAGCCUCGACUUCUCAUCGACCCAGAUAACCAGUCGUGGUUUGGUCAUCUUAGCCAACAGUCCCUGCAAAGUCACCAUAGAGGAGUUUCGGGCCGACCGAUGCAGUAAACUUGAAGCAGACGGGAUUCGGAUCAUUAUCGCCAACUUUCCGUCACUGCGAAUACUGAGAAUAUACGACUGCGACCAUCUUCGUUUUGCACCUGAGGCAGUACCAGCGAUAAUGGAAAGGAACGGCCAAUUUUCCUGGUUCGUCUCCUGGUGACCACCCUUACAGCGCAUGCCGGGCCCUCUGCUCUCGUAUUAUGAUGGCACUUCCAGAUGCUAACGUUUCUUGGAGACCGGCUAUAAUGGAACUUACAGAUCCUGAAGGUACAACAUCAAGGGGGCCAAGUUAAGCAAAAACUGCCAAUGACAG
rnacentral:misc_RNA from 1 species